rnacentral:sRNA from 1 species
GGACAAACCAAUCGAUCCCUGGUCGGGGAA